rnacentral:rRNA from 1 species
AGUGAACGCUGGCGGUAGGCCUAACACAUGCAAGUCGAACGGAAGCACAGUAAGAGCUUGCUCUUACGGGUGGCGAGUGGCGGACGGGUGAGGAAUACAUCGGAAUCUACUUUUUCGUGGGGGAUAACGUAGGGAAACUUACGCUAAUACAGCAUACGACCUACGGGUGAAAGCAGGGGAUCUUCGGACCUUGCGCGAUUGAAUGAGCGGAUGUCGGAUUAGCUAGUUGGCGGGGUAAAGGCCCACCAAGGCGACGAUCCGUAGCUGGUCUGAGAGGAUGAUCAGCCACACUGGAGCUGAGACACGGUCCAGACUCCUACGGGAGGCAGCAGUGGGGAAUAUUGGACAAUGGGCGCAAGCCUGAUCCAGCCAUACCGCGUGGGUGAAGAAGGCCUUCGGGUUGUAAAGCCCUUUUGUUGGGAAAGAAAAGCAGCAGGUUAAUACCUCGCUGUUCUGACGGUACCCAAAGAAUAAGCACCGGCUAACUUCGUG